UACAGAGGUCCCAAGCGUUGUUCGGAUUCACUGGGCGUAAAGGGUGCGUAGGCGGUCGGGUAAGUCUGAUGUGAAAUCUCACGGCUUAACUGUGAAACUGCAUUGGAUACUAUCCGGCUAGAGGAAUGGAGGGGAGACUGGAAUACUUGGUGUAGCAGUGAAAUGCGUAGAUAUCAAGUGGAACACCAGUGGCGAAGGCGAGUCUCUGGACAUUUCCUGACGCUGAGGCACGAAAGCCAGGGGAGCAAACGGG
rnacentral:rRNA from 1 species